CCACAUAUGGAAUCUUGAGACUCAGACCUUUCCGACGAUAUGUAUUUUGUCAAGAUUAUAAAAGUUUUGUUUCUAAAAGACCAUAAUACAUGUUUACACCGUACGCG